rnacentral:misc_RNA from 1 species
AAGGGUGAGCUUGAACCAACCAUGAAGGGAUCGGAUAAAGUCCCUUUGAAAUUUUAUCAGGCGACAAUAACUCGAGUGCCAUGCAGAUACAGCAGACUCAAGGUCACGAGUUGCCUGCCGGUGUAGGUCAGAUGUCGAUUGACCUUUAAUUUCUCUGUUGAUGAGGCCACGCACCUGCUGCACAAUGUCAUUCUGAACUUGAUGGAACUGGUUCAUGGAUUUCCACAUGUACAUAAAUCCAUGACAAAGUUCAACAAGCUGCGGGACAAGGUCAGAGUCCCUUAGGCCAAUAAUGGCAGAGGACGUAGUGGAAACAGCUUGCGAUGUGACCACCAUCAGUGACUGCAACCUUGUUAUUGAGGCCUUGGUUUUGUCCAACUUGGCUAUGUCAUCACUUCUGCUUUCCUGACUCUGUAAUGUUGCCAACUUCUUUUCAUGCUCAAUUUUAACUCCUUCCCUCGCCUUCACUUCCUGAUACAGUUUCUUUUCCCAUGCCAAGAGUCGCUCCAAGGUGGAACAAAGACUCUUUUGCCCACCUUCAUCAAUAGAACUAGGUUCAAAACGAUACUUGACCGCCAAUGGAGGUUUUGAAGACCAGGUGGAGCUUAUGGUGCUAAAAACUCCACCGGAAUGAUACACAGUUUUCUUUAACUGCUUAAAGCUCCGGUCAAGCUGAGCUCGACCUGUCUCCAACAUCUCAGACACCUGCUCACCAGCAGAAGCAGUCUUAUCAAAGUGUUCCUUAAUGGCAGCAACAAUCUCUGCUAGAUCCUUGUGCCUCACCACUAUACUUCUAUCAGAUACCAUCUCCACUUUCCCAUUUCCGUUCCCCCAACUCAUCGAAGACGACCCACCGUCCUCCGACAUCUUAUCAGAUUUCUUCACUGAGAAAUUCUUUGAAUUCACAUUAAUAUUAGAACCUUCCUCAUUCUUCACGGAAGCAGUAGACCCGAAAUUCGAUCGGGAUGGCCCAUACCCAGAUCUUAUAUCAUCCUUUUCCUCUACUUCUUCUUCUUCAUCGUCGUCAUCAUCAGAUGAAGUUGUAGUACUGUAAUGAUCGUGAUCUCCCCACUCGCUGCACUGUACCUCUUCUCUCUCAGCUUCACUCUCCCAGUUAUUCAAAUGGUGGGCUGCAUAGUUCUGCUUGUUUUCACCAACCUUUUUCUGAUUCCGGACAGACCCGUUUGCCAAUUUCUCAUCGUUAAUACUAUCAGUAUCGAAAAAGUCAAAUUGCUUGUUCGAUUUCCCAUGAAGUGAUUGGUCACUAGGAUGAUG